UUUUAAAGGGCCGCGGUAUUUUGACCGUGCAAAGGUAGCAUAGUCAUUAGUCUUUUAAUUGGAGGCUUGUAUGAAUGGUCGGACAAGAGAUAAGCUGUUUCAAUGAAAUUAAUUGAAUUUAACUUUUAAGUAAAAAGGCUUAAAUAUAUUAAAGUGACGAUAAGACCCUAUAAAACUUAAUAAAGAAAAUUAAAAAAUCAAAUUAGUUAAUUAAAGGUUUUUUAGUUGUAUUUAUUUUAUUGGGGCGAUAAAAAUAAAAUAAUAACUGUUUUUAAAUUUUAAAUGAUGAUUCUCAGUUAAGUUAAAUGAUCCUUUAAUAAAGAUUAAAAGAUUAAGUUACUUUAGGGAUAACAGCG
rnacentral:rRNA from 1 species